rnacentral:lncRNA from 1 species
ACUUGAAGAAGUAGACCAGUUCUCUCGCAUGUUCCAGUCCCUUUGUCGAGUAACCGAAGAACAAAACAUUGAGGUUUCUUUGAACAUGACAAUACGGAAGGCAAAUGGAAGUGCGGGAGUGGACAAGAAAGGAAAGGGCCCAACAUGAUUGUUGGUUACAUUUCGUUAGGACGCAUCACUACCACCUUUGAUGUACAAUAUUUGUUGUGUUA